CCGCGCACACGCAGACGCACACGCACUUAGACACACACACACACACACACACACACCCACACACGCGCGCAGAGGAGAGAACACGCUUCACGCACAUUCUAGUUCUCUUAUCUCCCCACACCACGCUCAGUGAUUAAGUAGAUUAGCGCGUGCCAUGCCGACGAUCUCUGUACAGUCGGCUUCUGAUUCUGCGCCGUGGGUGGGUGCAGAGGACACGACGCAGCAGCUCCUGUCCGGGUUCCAGUUCUUCUUGUUGUGCCUGAUAGUGAUAGCAUCGUACUACGUGUCCUUGUGGAUCUCUGCCCAUGCGGUGGGAGAAUCGACGGCAUCGCUGAGUGCCCCCAUCAUCGCAGCUUCGAGCCUGUUUGCCGACGUUGGCAACACGAUCCUAAAGAAGAUCAACCGCCGUCGCCACCGCACGCAAGUCGGCGCCGUCUUCUACGAGGAGGAGGCCGAUGACGCCAACAAUAUUUUCUCUGUAAACCAGCCUGGCACAGGCGUGCAGUAGGGCGCACCAUGCGGAGCUGGUGCAGCAUACGCGGCUGCCUUUUUCUUCCCCUCUUCCGUUUUGUCUUCCACGUGGUAGGGGCAGAUCUUCAGCGUUGGCGACUCGACCCCCCGGUGCACGCGUGUGCACAGGUAUACCCCCACGUGGCUAUGUCUGAGGUGUGGGCUGCCUCCUCUGCUGCCUGCGGACUCUUUUACUGCCACUCACGCUUCUCUCACUUCUUGCUCGUUGUCUCGCAUUAUUUGUUUUGUCUUGCUGUUCUUCUCGACUUGUUUCCGCUUCUUUUCCUCCCUCUGCGCACGCGCGCUGCGCGUGCGCAUCUAUGACCCUCCCCCUUUUUCUCCCCCUCUCUGUUGCACGCGUGCCCAAGUGUGUGCUGCGCGCGUUCUGAUGCUUCAUCCAGGUGCUUUCAGGCUCUCGUUGGUUUCUUUGCCGGCGUAAACGCACGCGGCGCCGCCUUUUUGUGGCUUGUGCGGAGUCCCCCGAUGGAGGGAGGGGAGAGAAAACCGAAAGCGAACCUCGCGCUAUGACGCAUGCCGGAUGGAGCCUCCGCGCGCUCUGCCGCUGCAAAUGACUUCACGGGUGCGCUCCGGCACUUCUCCGGGAGGCGAAAGCUGCGCUGUUCUUCUCCAGAGAAUGCAAUGGCCCGCAGGAGUUGGGAUUACUGUGCCUAUCGACACGCGCUUACACGCAAAUGCAUACUGCCUCAUCGUCUCUCCCGCCGUGUCUGCUGUCUCUCUCACUCAUGCCGCCUUCCCAUUACCACAACUAAAG
rnacentral:misc_RNA from 1 species